rnacentral:rRNA from 1 species
AGUUUGAUCCUGGCUCAGGAUGAACGCUAGCUACAGGCUUAACACAUGCAAGUCGAGGGGCAGCAUGAACUUAGCUUGCUAAGUUUGAUGGCGACCGGCGCACGGGUGAGUAACACGUAUCCAACCUGCCGAUGACUCGGGGAUAGCCUUUCGAAAGAAAGAUUAAUACCCGAUGGCAUAGUUCUUCCGCAUGGUGGAACUAUUAAAGAAUUUCGGUCAUCGAUGGGGAUGCGUUCCAUUAGGUUGUUGGCGGGGUAACGGCCCACCAAGCCUUCGAUGGAUAGGGGUUCUGAGAGGAAGGUCCCCCACAUUGGAACUGAGACACGGUCCAAACUCCUACGGGAGGCAGCAGUGAGGAAUAUUGGUCAAUGGACGAGAGUCUGAACCAGCCAAGUAGCGCGAAGGAUGACUGCCCUAUGGGUUGUAAACUUCUUUUAUACGGGAAUAAAGUGAGGCACGUGUGCCUUUUUGUAUGUACCGUAUGAAUAAGGAUCGGCUAACUCCGUGCCAGCAGCCGCGGUAAUACGGAGGAUCCGAGCGUUAUCCGGAUUUAUUGGGUUUAAAGGGAGCGUAGGCGGACGCUUAAGUCAGUUGUGAAAGUUUGCGGCUCAACCGUAAAAUUGCAGUUGAUACUGGGUGUCUUGAGUACAGUAGAGGCAGGCGGAAUUCGUGGUGUAGCGGUGAAAUGCUUAGAUAUCACGAAGAACUCCGAUUGCGAAGGCAGCUUGCUGGACUGUAACUGACGCUGAUGCUCGAAAGUGUGGGUAUCAAACAGGAUUAGAUACCCUGGUAGUCCACACAGUAAACGAUGAAUACUCGCUGUUUGCGAUAUACAGUAAGCGGCCAAGCGAAAGCGUUAAGUAUUCCACCUGGGGAGUACGCCGGCAACGGUGAAACUCAAAGGAAUUGACGGGGGCCCGCACAAGCGGAGGAACAUGUGGUUUAAUUCGAUGAUACGCGAGGAACCUUACCCGGGCUUGAAUUGCAACUGAAUGAUGUGGAGACAUGUCAGCCGCAAGGCAGUUGUGAAGGUGCUGCAUGGUUGUCGUCAGCUCGUGCCGUGAGGUGUCGGCUUAAGUGCCAUAACGAGCGCAACCCUUAUCGAUAGUUACCAUCAGGUUAUGCUGGGGACUCUGUCGAGACUGCCGUCGUAAGAUGUGAGGAAGGUGG